GGCUGGAUAGCUCAGUUGGUAGAGCAUGAGACUCUCAUCUUAAGGUUGUGGGUUCGAGCCCCACAUUGGGCA